CACUACAGCGCUUCAGAAAAGAGUCCAGUGUUUUCUGCUUUGCAGGGCUGCUUCUCUCCUGGCUGGCUGAAACUUCUAGGGUAUUCUCAUGGCCAUCAAGCAUCUGUCCCAAGUUUUCCAACUUGCUCUGAACAACAUCCCAUAUAAUGUCAUCAACAGUGUCAUUUGCUAGCAGGUAAUAAAUAUUGACCGAAGAAACCUGGCCAAUCCUGUGAGCCCUAUC
rnacentral:misc_RNA from 1 species